CAACUCAAAAGAGAUGCGGUAUAAAAGAGGAUUUGAAUGGAGACCUUGAAUCCUAGGCUGACAAGUCUGGACUUGAGUACAAAGAUAUAUUUUAACAUUUUCCUGAGCCACCGUUUGCCUAGGCUGCAUGACAUACCAAUUCUUAUGGAAGGACUCAGUGCUCACCAUCCUCGAAAACCUGAUUCAAAACCUAUCUUGCCAUUCUUGCGUAAGACCUACAUCUAGAGUCAUGUUUAAAACUUUUCCCCCAUUAGAAACCCAAUAUAUAAAAUAGACAAAAGUGAACUGCUCAGGCAAGAAGGGGAUGGGAAUAGCCAAGUAGAUAGGGGCGUAGAGUCCCUUUAUUUGUCCCCUACCCACUUGUUUUCU